GGUUCCCGCCCGCGGCUCUCUCUCCACACAUCCCCGCAAGCUGAGGGAGCCAGCUCCGGCCUUGGCCAGCCCAGAAAAGGGCUCCCACAGUGCAGGGGCGGGCUGAAGGGCUCCUCAAGUGCCGCCAAAGUGGGAGCCCAGGCAGAGGAGGCGCCGAGAGCGAGCGAGGGCUGUGAGGACUGCCAGCACGCUGUCACCUCUCAGUCAGAGCCCACAGAUAAUAGCAACACACUAAGGUCCUAGGAGAUGAGCUCUCCAGGAUGGCGAAGCAUCUAAUGGAUGAUAAAGUAGGUACUUGAACAGGACUAAGUGCCUUGGUCUGGGACAAUGAAGCUCAGCAAUCACUGAAGGACAGGUCCUCAAGGUACAUCGUUGGGAUCAAGCAACUUUGAUCCCAAGGAGAAGAAUAAAAACAAGAGGGACGACUGGGCCAAGGUGCCAUGUGAAGUGACCUGUGAGGAUCAACCCAGUGAAGAUGCUUGAGGAAGACAUGCUAGAGCAAAAACUACAACUCUGGUCCUCUUGGAUAUUUUAGAUAAGGACUUUACCCACAUAAAGAAGGUGUUGCCCUGGGGACUGGCUGAGAGAAAUUACAGGUAAGUGAAAAGUAAAUGGAAGCACAGGCUUCAUGAUUAAGCCAAAUAUAUAUUGACUUAUAUAAAUCAAAUUA
rnacentral:lncRNA from 1 species